rnacentral:rRNA from 1 species
GAUGAACGCUGGCGGCGUGCCUAAUACAUGCAAGUCGAGCGAAAAGACGAGGAGCUUGCUCCUCUGACGUUAGCGGCAGACGGGUGAGAAACACGUGGAUACCCUACCUAUAAGACUGGGAUAACUACGGGAAACCGGAGCAAAUACCGGAUAAUAUAUUGCACCGCAUGGUUCAAUAGUGAAAGACGGUUUUGCUGUCACUUCUAGAUGGAUCCGCGCCGCAUUAGCUAGUUGGUAAGGUAACGGCCUACCAAGGCAACGAUGCGUAGCCGACCUGAGAGGGUGAUCGGCCACACUGGAACGUGGACACGGUCCAGACUCCUACGGGAGGCAGCAGUAGGGAAUCUGCCGCAGUAGGCGAGAGCCUGACGGAGCAACGCGGCGUGAGUGAUGAAGGUCUUGGGAGCGUAAAGCUCUGUUAUGAGGGAAGAACAAAUGUGGAAGUAACUAUGCACGUCUUGACGGUACCUAAUCAGAAAGCCACGGCUAACUACGUG